rnacentral:lncRNA from 1 species
GUUGUAAUAGAGUAAUAAGAUGGAUCAUAGAGUGAUCUUUUGAUAAUAUUAGUACCUCCGGUAGGACUUAUAAUAAAAAGAAUGGUAAAAAUCCUAUACCAAAUAUAGCUCUCUUUUUUGUUAAUACAUUCUGCUCACUUUCAAAAUUUUCAUUAAGUCUUUAACAAUUUUUCUUUUUCUACAAUAUGACCAAGAUCCUCAUAAAAUACUACUUAAAGAUUUACAGAAAAAUGCUACAAGGCAAUAAAUAAAUAAAUAAAGCAAUAAAGUCAUGGAUUUAACAUUAUGAUCCAAAGCUUGAUUUCAAGAUUGAAACCUCAACAUUCAUCCAUAUAGCAAAUUUCCUUGCAGAUGCUUCAAGCAAUCUAAACAUGCUCAAAUCCUCAUCAAUUGCUAUUAAAAAAUCGGCAUUACAGAGUUUAAAUGUUACCUGGGUCACAUAAAAUAAAUGCAGCAGUGAAGAAUAAGAGCUCAGCAAACAGAAGCAGCAGAAAACAGCAGCAAAAUCAGCAGAAAACCAGCAGCAAAUUGUGUUUAAGCAGCCCAGAAACCUUAGAGAAGAAACCGAGAACCAACUCUAAAGAAGACUUAUACUUUUCUAAAAGUUUGCACUCUAAGAUUCACUCACAAAGCCCAAAAAAUUUCAGCUUACUAAAGUAUUCAGCUGCUGAUUUUUUUGUUCAAAGAUAUGUGUAUUCAAGCAACUCUCUAGAUAUUCUCUAAAUGAUAGAGUGUGUGUCUUUUACAGGAGAAGAAACUAGGCAUUCAUGAUUGAAAGUCUGAUUGAAAGUAUACCUUUUGGACAUAUUUUUCAACAAAAAUCUGCUCUAAAUAUCAAAAGACACACUUUUAGUUUAAAAUAUGUCCAAAAGAUAGUAUUUUCCCUAAAAGUCUGCUCUAACCAUUCAAAAGACAUACUUUGGUUCAAAAGUUAUCCAAAAAGUAGUAUUUUCACCAAACAAUGACUUACGUUUUUGGAGUAUUAUACUCCAAAAGUCUUUGAACAGUAAAAACAACCAAACUUGUAUUAUUCCUUCUUUAAUUUCAGCAUUUAUCAACACAAAAUUCAAAUACUCAAAUCCAAUAUAAAUAAAUUUACUAAGCACGUGAAACUUUUAUUAUCAACUAUCAUGACUAAGCGAAUAGCUAUUUCAGGGCUAAUGAAUGACUAAUUAUCAAUGAUUAGUAACUAUGAAUGACUAAGCUAACACAGAUUAAACACAAUAAAUAAUUAAAAAUAUAAAAAAAAUAAAAAUUAUGCUCGAUCUAAACUAACUGCAAUACAAUUAGAAAAAAUAGACAAAGAAAACGAGAAUAGGGGUAUACCAAACGAGGGCGGUCGGGGAGGUCGCGCGAAAUUUGGACAGAUUUUGGUCGCCGGAUUUGGGAUGGAAAUUGACAUCAAUAUGUAGGUCUUGAGGAGCUCUAUCCGUUGAUGUAGGUAUUACGAGAUGGUAGUGGCCGAAGCUUCAAGAAUUUGGGCAAAAAAGUACCGGCUAAAGUUUCCUAGAUCUAAUAUUCAAGGAGUUUGAGGGGGUUUUGAAGGAUUUGGAUUAGAGAUAUGAAAAGAGGAGGUUGUGGAGAUUACAUGGUGUAAAUUUGGGGGUGUUUGGAAGUGGUCCGUCGCCGGUGGGCGAUUUUCGGUGGCGGCGAGGGGCGGCGGCUAGGAAGAAAGAGAGAGUGAAGAGAGAGAAAAGAGAGAGGAAGGAGAAAAGACUUAUGGGUGGAAAUUGAGGC